rnacentral:rRNA from 1 species
CACAAGCGAAGAAGCAUGUGCACAAGCGAAGAAGCAUGUGGUUUAAUUCGAAGCAACGCAAGAACCUUACCAGGUCUUGACAUCCUUUGACCACUCUAGAGAUAGAGCUUCCCCUUCGGGCAAAGUGACAGGUGGUGCAUGGUUGUCGUCAGCUCGUGUCGUGAGAUGUUGGGUUAAGUCCCGCAACGAGCGCAACCCUUAUUGUUAGUUGCCAUCAUUUAGUUGGGCACUCUACCGGACGCAACGCGUGCGGGAUGCACGCUCAAAUCAUCAUGCCCCUUAUGCACCUGGGCUACACACGCUGCUCAAUGGGAAGUACAACGAGUCGCAAAGUCGCGAGGCUAAGCUAAUCUCUUAAAGCUUCUCUCAGUUCGGAUUGUAGGCUGCAACUCGCCUACAUGAAGCCGGAAUCGCUAGUAAUCGCGGAUCAGCACGCCGCGGUGAAUACGUUCCGGCCUGUACACACCGCCCGUCACACCACGAGAGUUUGUAACACCCGAAGUCGGGUGAGGUAACCUUUUGGAGCCAGCCGCCUAAGGUGGGAGAUUGAUUGGGGGUGAAGUCGUAACAAGGUAGCCGUAUCGGAAGGUGCGCUGGAUCACCUUCCUUUCUAAGGAAUAUUACGGAGACUACACUGUUUGUUUUAUACUUUAUUCAGUUUUGAGAGGUCUACUCUCAAAAAUAAAUCGGGGCCUUAGCUCAGCUGGGAGAGCGCCUGCUUUGCACGCAGGAGGUCAGCGGUUCGAUCCGCUAGGCUCCAUUAACAACAUUAGUUGUUAAAACAUUUUGUUCAUUGAAA